AGCUCCAAUAGCGUAUAUUAAAGUUGUUGCGGUUAAAAAGCUCGUAGUUGGAUCUCAGUCCAAGUCAAGGGGUCCACUUGUUAGUGGUUACUUCUUGACUGGACAUUUUACUGAGCCGUCUCUUGAUGCUCUUCACCGAGUGUCAUGAGCGAUCAGUACGUUUACUUUGAAAAAAUUAGAGUGCUCAAAGCAGGCGUUCAGCCCGAAUAAUCUCGCAUGGAAUAAUUGAAUAGGAUCUCGGUUCUAUUUUGUUGGUCUUCGGAACCUGAGAUAAUGAUUAAGAGGGACAGACGGGGGCAUUCGUAUUGCGGCGCUAGAGGUGAAAUUCUUGGACCGUCGCAAGACGAACUACAGCGAAAGCAUUUGCCAAGAAUGUUUUCA
rnacentral:rRNA from 1 species